UACGUAGGGGGCGAGCGUUGUCCGGAGUACUGGGCGUAAAGCGCACGCAGGCGGUCUGCUAAGUUUGGAGUGACAGUUGGUGGCUUAACUGCCAAAGUGCUUCGAAAACUGACAGACUUGAGGGCUUCAGAGGGACACGGAAUCCGGGUGGAGUGGUGAAAUGACGUAGAGAUCCGGAGGAACACCAAAGGCGAAGGCGGCCAUCUGGCUCGGUACUGACGCUCGAGGCGCGAAAGCGUGGGGAGCGAAACAGGAUUGAGAA
rnacentral:rRNA from 1 species